UACAGAGGUCUCAAGCGUUGUUCGGAUUCAUUGGGCGUAAAGGGUGCGUAGGCGGCGCGGUAAGUCGGAUGUGAAAUCUCGGAGCUUAACUUCGAAACUGCAUUCGAUACUGCCGUGCUUGAGGACUGGAGAGGAGACUGGAAUUUACGGUGUAGCGGUGAAAUGCGUAGAUAUCUGGAGGAACACCGGUGGCGAAGGCGGCAUCCUGGACCGAGAUUGACGCUGAGGCGCGAAAGCUAGGGGAGCAAACGGG
rnacentral:rRNA from 1 species